AACAUGAUACUCACCUUACCAGAGCAUCCGCCUGAGAACUACGAGCACAAACGCUUAAAACUCUAAGGACUUGGCGGUGCCCUAAACCCACCUAGAGGAGCCUGUUCUAUAAUCGAUAACCCACGAUACACCCAGCCAUCUCUUGCCAAUACAGCCUACAUACCGCCGUCGCCAGCCCGCCUAAUGAAAGAACAAUAGCGAGCACAAUAGCCACUUCGCUAACAAGACAGGUCAAGGUAUAGCGUAUGAGAUGGAAGA
rnacentral:rRNA from 1 species